GGAGAGGUGGCUGAGCGGCUGAAGGCGCACGCCUGGAAAGUGUGUUUAGGUUAAUCCCUAACGAGGGUUCGAAUCCCUCUCUCUCCG
rnacentral:tRNA from 1 species